UGUACAAGAAGCAUGAUGCCAGCAUCUGCUUCUGGUGACAACCUCAAGAAGUUUACAAUUGGCCGCGUGCGGUGGCUCAUGCCUGUAAUGCCAGCACUUCGGGAGGCGGAGACAGAUGGAUCAUUUGAGGUCAGGAGUUUGAGACCAGGCUGGCCAACAUGGUGAAACCCCGUCUCUACUAAAAAUACAAAAAUUAGCUGGGCGUGGUGGCAUGUGUCUGGAAUCCCUGCUACUCAGGAGGCUGAGGCAAGAGGAUCACUUGAACUUGGGAGGCAGAGGUUGCUGUGAGCUGAGAUCACACCACUGUACUCCAGCCUGGGCAACAGAGUGAUACUCCAUCUCAAAAAAAAGAAAGAAAAGAAAAAGAAGCUUACAAUCAUGGUGGAAGGCGAAGAGGAGGAGCAGGCAUAUCACAUGGCCAAAAAGGGAGCAAGAGAAAGAGUCAAGAAAAUUGUUUUUUUCUUUUGAGCUGUACAUAGCUUACAGUAAUUGGAUAAAUUACACUUUUGUGAGAACAAUUGAAACACUAACCUUUCUCUCUACCUGAUGUCUCCAGAAUUUGGAAAGUAUUUGUGAGUAUUCUUCACUUUUGGCAAUAUAGUUAUUUGUACAAAUUCGAUAGGAAUCUGUUUUCUUUUGUAACAGAACACAGUUGGAUACACUGAUUAUUUUGCCAAGGCUUUCAUUGGAAUGGCAUAAUUUUUUAAUGACCAGACUGCUUUGAGGAUUUGAAGUUGACUUUAUAGAGCCUAUAAAAAGCCUGUUGGAAAAAUUAGCCUGAUACCUUGUCUACACAGUUUCCUUACAAGGUUCCUGACCUUGCGGUAGUAAAGAAUGUCACUCUCUGGCAGGCCCAGGAGCCUCAGGAUAUUUUGGGGACCUUGACAAGAGAGGAGUGUAUCCAAUUUAUACAGGAAUUACAAGUGCAGUCUGAUUGUGAAUCCUUGUCUUGGCUUCUUAGCCUUGAGAGUUUUUAAAAGUUGAAUGUGAAAUUCCUUAUGAAAAAGUUCCAACAAAGCCAAACUUUAAAAGAGCCUAUAUGUGGUCAAUCACUAUUUUUGCUGUACUUUAUGCAAAUAAUCAGGCCAAAUAUAAUAAAACUAAAACUUAUUUUGCAAAUAAAUUGGUCCUAUUAUGAUUUGCCUUUAAUAGAAAAGGGGGACUGGAGAGAGAAGAAUUAUGUUUCAGAAGAAAAUGAUAGCAUACCUGUUGUUAGAUUCUAGCUUUGUCCAUUGUUUUUAAGUUGUAAUUAUUUGCCUACAUUUGAACUAAAUCUUGAAUUCUUUCCUGGCUACAAGUCUCCAAGCUAAGAUUUAAAUUUUUUUCUCCUAUUUUUCUGACUUGGAAUAAGUAGAAGUUAAAACUAUGCUUUUCUUGAAGCCCUGCAGACUGGAGCAAGACAACUUGAAUAAACUAUGGGAAAAAUCACUACAGCAACUUAUAUAUAAACAGCUUUUAUGCUUGUUGAUGUAUGGAAUACUCAGAAAGUUCACUGCAACACCUGAUUUAAACUACAACCAGGAGACUCUGUCAGAUUAACACUACAAUCUGAAGAACUACAGAGACUCUCAAAAAACUAGUGUAUAGUCUACAGUAGAUAUUAACCUUUGUUUUUCUUCUGUUUUCAUAGAAACACCUUUUAUUAAAAAUCUGUUUGCCUGCUUCAUAUAUAGAGUCCUAGUCCAUCUGUAAUGCCACCCCCUGGAAUGAGACAUAGCUGUUUAACUGAACUGAUCUAUUCUCGGG
rnacentral:lncRNA from 1 species